rnacentral:lncRNA from 1 species
ACACCCUCUCUUCUCCUAUCUCUACCUCAUGUAGUCUUCAUCGACUAGGAUCUCAUCGUGAAUCACCAAAAUUAGAUAAGAGAAAAUAGCCUGACUUAAACCCUUAUUUUAGGUUGGAUUAUCAGCCCCAUUUUUCUUUUUUCUGAUCGUUUCCACCACUAGCCUUCAUAAUCAUGGCCCUUGGUAUCUCUCUUACACCAGCUACUAGCCUAUGCGAGGGCCCCAAUCGCUUGUGAGCAGUCUUGGUCUCCAAAAUGAUCAGGCAAUAAGUCCUUGUUCAACCCUCUAUUUGGUCAACCUAUGUGCAUCUUCUCACCAAUCGCCAUCGCCGACCACC